UACGAAGGGGGCUAGCGUUGCUCGGAAUCACUGGGCUUAAAGCGUGUGUAGGCGGAUGCCUAAGUACCUUGUGAAAUCCCACAGCUCAACUGUGGAACUGCUUGGUAUACUGGGUGUCUUGAGCCACUUAGGGGUUACCGGAACAAAUGGUGGAGCGGUGAAAUGCGUAGAUAUCAUUUGGAACGCCAAUGGUGAAAACAGGUAACUGGGAGUGUGCUGACGCUGAGACACGAAAGCCAGGGGAGCGAACGGG
rnacentral:rRNA from 1 species